UCCGCAGUGGUGUAAUGGUAACAUCUGUCGCUCUCACCGACAAGCCCGGGGUUCAAUUCCCCGCUGCGGAA
rnacentral:tRNA from 1 species